UACAGAGGUCUCGAGCGUUAGGCGGAAUCACUGGGCUUAAAGCGUGUGUAGGUGGAUCGUUAAGUACCUUGUGAAAUCCCACGGCCUAACCGUGGAACUGCUUGGUAUACUGGCGGUCUUGAGCCAGCUAGGGGCUACCGGAACAAAUGGUGGAGCGGUGAAAUGCGUAGAUAUCAUUUGGAACGCCAAUGGUGAAAACAGGUAGCUGGGGCUGUGCUGACACUGAGACACGAAAGCCAGGGGAGCAAACGGG
rnacentral:rRNA from 1 species